rnacentral:tRNA from 1 species
GCGGACGUGGCGGAACGGUAGACGCAGCGGACUUAAAAUCCGCAUCCUCCGGGAGUGUGGGUUCGAGUCCCACCGUCCGCA